rnacentral:rRNA from 1 species
AGUGAACGCUGGCGGUAUGCCUAACACAUGCAAGUCGAACGGCAGCACAGUAAGAGCUUGCUCUUACGGGUGGCGAGUGGCGGACGGGUGAGGAAUACAUCGGAAUCUACUUUUUCGUGGGGGAUAACGUAGGGAAACUUACGCUAAUACCGCAUACGACCUACGGGUGAAAGCAGGGGAUCUUCGGACCUUGCGCGACUGAAUGAGCCGAUGUCGGAUUAGCUAGUUGGCGGGGUAAAGGCCCACCAAGGCGACGAUCCGUAGCUGGUCUGAGAGGAUGAUCGGCCACACUGGAACUGAGACACGGUCCAGACUCCUACGGGAGGCAGCAGUGGGGAAUAUUGGACAAUGGGCGCAAGCCUGAUCCAGCCAUACCGCGUGAGUGAAGAAGGCCUUCGGGUUGUAAAGCCCUUUUGUUGGGAAAGAAAAGCAGCAGGUUAAUACCCCGCUGUUCUGACGGUACCCAAAGAAUAAGCACCGGCUAACUUCGUG